UCCUACGGGAGGCAGCAGUGAGGAAUAUUGGUCAAUGGGCGCGAGCCUGAACCAGCCAAGUCGCGUGAGGGAAGACGGUCCUAUGGAUUGUAAACCUCUUUUGUCGGGGAGCAAAAGACGCCACGCGUGGCGUUCCGAGAGUACCCGAAGAAAAAGCAUCGGCUAACUCCGUGCCAGCAGCCGCGGUAAUACGUAGGGAGCGAGCGUUAUCCGGAUUUAUUGGGUGUAAAGGGUGCGUAGAUGGAUAAACAAGUUGGUUGUGAAAUCCCUCGGCUUAACUGAGGAAUUGCAACCAAAACUGUAGA
rnacentral:rRNA from 1 species